UUUUGGAAGAGGAAGUUCUACCGACUCGCCAAGGAGAAGGCGGAUAUGGAGGCAGCCUACGAGAGGGAGGUGAAGAGACUCCGUGCAUCCUAUCUUCCUGUGUCCCAAGCUUUAGAUGAUUGUUUUUAGGGAUCCAUAGGAUGAUUAUUUCCCCUUUCUCUUGUAUAUGGUUACCAAUGAUGUACUUCUUUGGUGUAAAAUAUUUCCCAGAUAUUAUGUUUCCAUAUAAAAGUGUU
rnacentral:lncRNA from 1 species